rnacentral:rRNA from 1 species
UACGUAGGGGGCGAGCGUUGUCCGGAAUUAUUGGGCGUAAAGGGCACGCAGGCGGUUUGCCAAGUUCGAAGUGACAAUCAACGGCUUAACCGGUGAACGACUUCGAAAACUGGCGGACUUGAGAGCGAGAGAGGGACAUGGAACUCCGGGUGGAGCAGUGAAAUGCGUAGAGAUCCGGAGGAACACCAAGGCGAAGGCAGUGUCCUGGCUCGUUUCUGACGCUGAGGUGCGAAAGCCAGGGGAGCGAACGGG